GGAGAGCCCGGCGGGCACCCUCGCGGGGGGGAGGUGCCAGCCUUGUGCCCAUGGGGACACAGCCCCCCCCCUCCAUGUGCCAGCCCCCAGCCAGCUGGCACUGAGUCAAAGGUGCCGGCUGGUGGGCGCGCGGGGGGCGGGGAGCGGCUGGCACACAGCCCCCAACACAGACACGCAGAGUGACUGGCAUGGAGCACUGGCAUUGUCAGAGAAAGAGAUGGAGACUGGCUGAGGAAGAGGAGGAGAAGUCACCGGAGGAAGAUCUCAACCCCCCUAUUGGUCCUGCCACCUGGACACAAAGAGUCUCUUCGUUUCUCAGGACUCCAUCCUUCACUUCGCAUCCCAGUCCGGGACCAGAGGAAAUUGGGAAAAGCCGGGAUUCCCCUUGGAAGGGAAAACAUGAGAUUCCACCAGCUCCUUUCGGGGUAUCAGAUUUGGGAGACCUUCGAGUGCAUGUAAAUGAUUUAUAAAUGCAAUGGGACAAAGGCAAGCCACUUUGCAGUCAGUGGAAAUCUGGGAAUCUCCUGCAGGCUGAGGACAGUGGAAGGAUCCAAAGAGCAAAAAGAUCCCAGC